CUAUUCGAACAUUGUUACGCAUUGUUGAAGCUUGUUUACUAGUGAAACCAAGGAAACGUCUAAGAUAGAAACACUUGAGCUCAAACACAGCUGAAGUGAGGACUUCUGAGCGAUACACGAAUAACUCACUGCAAAUAUAAUCUUCAGGAGAUGGAAAUAUACUUCUCAUUACAAGUAAAUAUCUUCGACGUCGUACUGCUGUUUACAAUUAUGAUACUGCCAAGAAUAAUUUUCUAUAUCGGACGGUUGUUAGGAAAUUCGUACCGAAAAAAGACUACUCGUGAAUCAUCGCAGAGUUCCACAAAUUCCAGCAUCACCGACAAUAUCAUCCCUGAUAGUACAGCACGAAUACUUCCUAGUCCAGCUCAAGAAUAAAUUCCGAGGUCACAUCAUUCAUCAGAUAGAUAAAAUCCGCGCGGAAGAAACUGAGAGAGUUACUGCCAUAUGUUGGGACACAGAAAGAUGGGUCCCUUAUCGUACUCAAGAUCUGUCUACGGGGGACCCAUCGGCAGCUCGGAGAGUCUAAGGAAGGCCUACGUGGCCGCUGAAAUUCUUCAUCCUGUCUUGUCUUCGGCUGCACGUGGACGUCGUGUGAUCGAGUAAGGUCCACUCCUCUUCAGAACACCGACGUCUGUAGUCUCAGCAGUGCACGGGAGAUCUCAUCUAGGUCGUAUCGGGUGUGGUUAAUGCCUUGGUGUAGUUGGCUGAAGACAAUUCCAACCUCCGAGCGCAUGAAUCACACCCGGAAUGAGUUAGAUGAGAUCUCCGAUGCACUUGUGGGAAAACACCUGAGCUUUUCUGGUGAUUGUCGACAGAGGUCUUGACCCCUCUUUAUCGCGUAACGUUCGAAAAUAUGUCACGUGAUGUGGCCGACAAUAAUUUCCGACGUUAGCAGAAAGCUCUACACCCGGCUACCCUGUCAUUAUCUGGGGGUGGAUUAACAGGGGGUUGUCUGGUUUAGACGAAAAUUAUAAAUUUAUUUAGAAAAUCUGAUGUAAAAGACAAUGUUUAACGAAAAAGGAAUAAUACAAUAAUGACAUUGUAUAAACCAUUAAA